rnacentral:rRNA from 1 species
GAUGAACGCUGGCGGCGUGCCUAAUACAUUCAAGUCGAGCGAACAGACGAGGAGCUUGCUCCUCUGACGUUAGCGGCGGACGGGUGAGUAACACGUGGAUAACCUACCUAUAAGACUGGGAUAACUUCGGGAAACCGGAGCUAAUACCGGAUAAUAUAUUGAACCGCAUGGUUCAAUAGUGAAAGACGGUUUUGCUGUCACUUAUAGAUGGAUCCGCGCCGCAUUAGCUAGUUGGUAAGGUAACGGCUUACCAAGGCGACGAUGCGUAGCCGACCUGAGAGGGUGAUCGGCCAAACUGGAACUGAGACACGGUCCAGACUCCUACGGGAGGCAGCAGUAGGGAAUCUUCCGCAAUGGGCGAAAGCCUGACGGAGCAACGCCGCGUGAGUGAUGAAGGUCUUCGGAUCGUAAAACUCUGUUAUUAGGGAAGAACAAAUGUGUAAGUAACUAUGCACGUCUUGACGGUACCUAAUCAGAAAGCCACGGCUAACUACGUG